rnacentral:lncRNA from 1 species
GGGUGGGGCAAGGCAAACAAUAAGCCCUCAGAUGAACCAGGUAGUUUUUACAUUACUACAGAGCUCUGAGGAGGGCUCGCUUGAACCGGAAGCAGAGUCAAGAGAAGUAAGGAGUUACACAGAUGUGAGGGCAGAGACUAUCUCCAGCAGAAGGAACGUCAGGUGCAAUGUAAGUCACUGCAUAGAGGAUGGAAGAACAGAAAAGAAUCAAAGACAACCAGCGGCCGGCCA